rnacentral:rRNA from 1 species
CACUCCUGCGGGAGGCAGCAGUGGGGAAUUUUGGACAAUGGGCGAAAGCCUGAUCCAGCAAUGCCGCGUGAGUGAAGAAGGCCUUCGGGUUGUAAAGCUCUUUUGUCAGGGAAGAAACGGUGAAAGCUAAUAUCUUUUGCUAAUGACGGUACCUGAAGAAUAAGCACCGGCUAACUACGUGCCAGCAGCCGCGGUAAUACGUAGGGUGCAAGCGUUAAUCGGAAUUACUGGGCGUAAAGCGUGCGCAGGCGGUUUUGUAAGUCUGAUGUGAAAUCCCCGGGCUCAACCUGGGAAUUGCAUUGGAGACUGCAAGGCUAGAAUCUGGCAGAGGGGGGUAGAAUUCCACGUGUAGCAGUGAAAUGCGUAGAUAUGUGGAGGAACACCGAUGGCGAAGGCAGCCCCCUGGGUCAAGAUUGACGCUCAUGCACGAAAGCGUGGGGAGCAAACAGGAUUAGAUACCCAGGUAGUCCCA